UUAGUUGUUUGAUACCUGGUCCUUGGGGUGACUAGGGCAGGUGGAUAGUGGUCUGGAGUGUGAGAGCUUGAUAAGAGAAGUGGUUAUGGGUAUGGACUGCGGAUUGCUUGGUUUGCAUAUCAAAGGCAUGCUUGCAGGAGAGCCCUUUAUGAUCUCUAGGAAUUGGCAACCUUGGGAAGAGCAGUCUCUCCAGAAUUAGCAAGGUCCUAAAAUGUCAAAGAAUCAGAAACACAUCGUUCAUACAAGGACAGCGCGUCUGAGUUUCUGGAACAGCUGUGGAACUGCUGCCCUGUCUCUCCCUUUGGAGAUGGGAGACUUGGGACUGAUUCUAUAAUCUUGCUAACACCCAGAGGAUGAAGAUGAGAGAGAGAGGAUCUGUGCCAAAUGUGAGGCUGCCCUUGCCACUAAGGACUUCUAAUAUUGCAACUAUCAAGAUGAUGAUGAACUCAUCAAUAGAUGGAGAGAGACUGCUGUGUUUUGAAGGACUCUGGAUAAUAAAUAGGUGGAAGGAACUCAUCUCCAGAUGAGAAUUUGGAGUUUAGGAUCUUCGAGUUAAGGCUGGGAUGAGACCAUUUGACCAUAAUGCUGUGAAAAAGCCCAGCCUAAUCUACUCAAUAUGAAAGUCUCUGCAGAAAGAAGAAUGGAGGUUCUCUGGUGACAGCUGGUACCAUGUUCCAAAGGCCAUUUUCAGCCUGCAGAUUCAGGGAAGACAUCAGAUGACGGUCGCUACAUGAUUGAGUUCAGACAAGAGCAGUAGAAGAAA